rnacentral:rRNA from 1 species
GACGAACGCUGGCGGCGUGCCUAACACAUGCAAGUCGAGCGGGGUUGAAGCGAGAGGUAACUCGAACUUCUACCUAGCGGCGGACGGGUGAGUAACGCGUGGGCAACCUGCCUCAAGGUCUGGGAUAACAGCCCGAAAGGGCUGCUAAUACCGGGUAUGCUUGUGGCCUCGCAUGGGGCUAUGAGCAAAGGGGAAACCCGCCUUGAGAUGGGCCCGCGUCCCAUCAGCUAGUUGGUGAGGUAACAGCUCACCAAGGCGACGACGGGUAGCCGGCCUGAGAGGGUGACCGGCCACACUGGGACUGAGACACGGCCCAGACUCCUACGGGGGGCAGCAGUGGGGGAUCUUGCACAAUGGGCGAAAGCCUGAUGCAGCGACGCCGCGUGAGCGAAGAAGGCCUUCGGGUUGUAAAGCUCUGUCUGGAGGGACGAAGGAAGUGACGGUACCUCCGGAGGAAGCCACGGCUAACUACGUG